rnacentral:misc_RNA from 1 species
AAAUGCGAUAAUUAAUGUGAAUUGCAGAAUUCAGUGAAUCAUCGAGUCUUUGAACGCACAUUGCGCCCCCUGGUAUUCCGGGGGGCAUGCCUGUCCGAGCGUCAUUGCUGCCCUCAAGCACGGCUUGUGUGUUGGGCUUCCGUCCCUGGCAACGGGGACGGGCCCAAAAGGCAGUGGCGGCACCAUGUCUGGUCCUCGAGCGUAUGGGGCUUUGUCACCCGCUCCCGUAGGUCCAGCUGGCAGCUAGCCUCGCAAACAAUCUUUUUAACCAGGUUGACCUCGGAUCAGGUAGGGAUACCCGCUGAACUUAAGC